rnacentral:sRNA from 1 species
GUUGACCUUGAAUUAUGCCGAGCGACGCCUACAAACCCACCGCUCAGGCCUUCACCAGGAUUGUUCCCAUUCCACUUCCUUGCCCAGUCUUAGGCUUCAUUCCUUUUUCUUGCUAACGCUGCUUCCUCACCCGUCUCUUGUCUCUGCGUCUUCUUUUUCCAUUUGUCCCUGGCAGCCAUCCGCAGAGAGAAGACCUUCCAGAAACAACAGGCUUCCCUUUCCUAAAGUUCUGCUGCCUUCUCUCAUUUUCAAAAUUAACCCCAAACUCCUUAGGGUGGCAUUCAUUUUUGUGACCUCUCCAGUUUCUAGCCAACACUAGGAAAGGGCAUUGCCAGGCCAGAACACACUGUGCCCUCUGAAGACCACACGCCCUUUACCACCUGUGCCCUUUGCUUGGAAUGCUUUUUCUUCCCUUUCUCCUUGUUUGCCUGCCUAGCUCCUACUCAUCCUCUUAGCUUCAUAUCCUUUGUGAUGUCAUCCUUGAUUCCCCUUUAGGCAAACACUUCUUGUGAUUCAUCACUGUGUCCUCUGUACCCGGCAACAA